CCUAUGCAUGCGGAAUAAUGGUCUCCUUGCAGAGAGGGAAAUAGCUUAGUGCUAUCAUCGUUGCCUCGGUAACCAUCAGAGUCCCCAUCUAGCAAGAGAGAAAUGAGUUAUGAAAAGGCUUGAGUGAAGAAGGGAUUAACACAUGAUCCCAGGGACAGUGUGUCAAUCAAAAUCAACUGAGAAAUUACACUGCUCUAUUUGAGAAUUUCUCCGGAACCCUCAUGGUAGUGGAGUUGGGUAAACUUCAUAUCUACGUGGCCAUCGUGGAGAUCUGAACACGCUGUUUCUAUUAUCUAUCAGUCAUUUACUGAUUCAUCUUCUACUUCCACAUGUCCGGUGACUUCCCUUUAUAUUUAAAAUCCAAUCAAAUGCCUUAGCUUCUAGAAAUGUGGUCUGAUAAAACUUGCAGGAUGUACCACAGGAUUGAAAGUGGCUGGCGCCGAUGCCAAUUAGGAUGAGGUGUUUGCCUUCAGGAAGAGUCCCAAAGCCAAGCUCUGUCUCCAGGACCAGGGUUCUGGUCCAUCUCGCUAGCUGGUUCAGCUCUGAAUCUCCCUCUGAGAAGCAAGAACGCCUGCGCAGGGACAAAAGGCUCAAAGACUGGUGCUCUCCUGGAAUACCUCACCCUAAUCAGCAGGAUUUCCACCCCAAGUCCAUCAAGACAGCAAGAAAGUCCAGCUGGCAGCAUUUCCCCCUGUCUGACCAUUAAAUUGGAAAACAG
rnacentral:lncRNA from 1 species